UACGGGGGGGGCAAGCGUUGUUCGGAAUUACUGGGCGUAAAGGGCUCGUAGGCGGCCAACUAAGUCAGACGUGAAAUCCCUCGGCUUAACCGGGGAACUGCGUCUGAUACUGGAUGGCUUGAGUUUGGGAGAGGGAUGCGGAAUUCCAGGUGUAGCGGUGAAAUGCGUAGAUAUCUGGAGGAACACCGGUGGCGAAGGCGGCAUCCUGGACCAACACUGACGCCGAGGAGCGAAAGCCAGGGGAGCAAACGGG
rnacentral:rRNA from 1 species